rnacentral:rRNA from 1 species
GACAGAGGUGCCGAGCGUUAGGCGGAAUCACUGGGCUUAAAGCGCGUGUAGGCGGGAGGGCACGUCGGUCGCUGAAAUCCCCCGGCUCAACCGGGGAAGUGGCGCCGAUACGACCUUCCUGGAGGAACGUAGGGGGACCUGGAACUUCCGGUGGAGCGGUGAAAUGCGUUGAGAUCGGAAGGAACGCCCGUGGCGAAAGCGAGGUCCUGGACGUUUUCUGACGCUGAGACGCGAAAGCCAGGGGAGCAAACGGG